rnacentral:rRNA from 1 species
GACGAACGCUGGCGGCGUGCUUAACACAUGCAAGUCGAGCGAGAAAGCACCUUCGGGUGUGAGUACAGCGGCGAACGGGUGAGUAACACGUGGGCAACCUGCCCCAGAGACUGGGAUAACGUCCCGAAAGGGACGCUAAUACCGGAUGACGCGUGACCUGCCAAGUAGGUCACGCCAAAUGGUAGCUUCGGUUUCUGCUCUGGGAUGGGCCCGCGCCGGAUUAGCUUGUUGGUGAGGUAACGGCUCACCAAGGCGACGAUCCGUAGCUGGUCUGAGAGGACGAACAGCCACACUGGGACUGAGACACGGCCCAGACUCCUACGGGAGGCAGCAGUGGGGAAUCUUGCGCAAUGGGCGAAAGCCUGACGCAGCAACGCCGCGUGAGCGAAGACGGCCUUCGGGUUGUAAAGCUCUGUCAGGAGGGACGAAGCCACUCAGGUGAAUAGCCGAGAGGGUGACGGUACCUCCAGAGGAAGCCCCGGCUAACUACGUGCCAGCCGCCGCCGUAAUAC